UACGAAGGGGGCUAGCGUUGUUCGGAUUUACUGGGCGUAAAGCGCACGUAGGCGGAUUGUUAAGUCAGGGGUGAAAUCCUGGAGCUCAACUCCAGAACUGCCUUUGAUACCGGCAAUCUUGAGUCCGGAAGAGGUGAGUGGAACUCCUAGUGUAGAGGUGGAAUUCGUAGAUAUUAGGAAGAACACCAGUGGCGAAGGCGGCUCACUGGUCCGGUACUGACGCUGAGGUGCGAAAGCGUGGGGAGCAAACAGG
rnacentral:rRNA from 1 species